UGUCAGGUCCGGUGCAACUGUAUCCUUCGAACCAUGUCAGGUCAGGAAUGAAGCAGCAUUAAGAGGUGUAUAUAGUGUGCCGCCGGUAACCUGACAUUU
rnacentral:SRP_RNA from 1 species